rnacentral:rRNA from 1 species
GGUUACUGCUAUCGGUGUUCGCCUAAGCCAUGCGAGUCAUAUGUUCGUAAGAACAUGGCGUACUGCUCAGUAACACGUGGAUAACCUGCCCUUGGGUCCGGCAUAACCCCGGGAAACUGGGGAUAAUUCCGGAUAACGCAUAUAUGCUGGAAUGCUUUAUGCGUAAAAUGGAUUCGUCUGCCCAAGGAUGGGUCUGCGGCCUAUCAGGUAGUAGUGGGUGUAAUGUACCUACUAGCCUACGACGGGUACGGGUUGUGAGAGCAAGAGCCCGGAGAUGGAUUCUGAGACAUGAAUCCAGGCCCUACGGGGCGCAGCAGGCGCGAAAACUUUACAAUGCGGGAAACCGUGAUAAGGGGACACCGAGUGCCAGCAUCCUAUGCUGGCUGUCCGGGUGUGUAAAAUACACCUGUUAGCAAGGGCCGGGCAAGACCGGUGCCAGCCGCCGCGGUAACACCGGCGGCCCGAGUGGUGAUCGUGAUUAUUGGGUCUAAAGGGUCCGUAGCCGGUUUGGUCAGUCCUCCGGGAAAUCUGACAGCUUAACUGUUAGGCUUUCGGAGGAUACUGCCAGACUUGGAACCGGGAGAGGUAAGAGGUACUACAGGGGUAGGAGUGAAAUCUUGUAAUCCCUGUGGGACCACCUGUGGCGAAGGCGUCUUACCAGAACGGGUUCGACGGUGAGGGACGAAAGCUGGGGGCACGAACCGGAUUAGAUACCCGGGUAGUCCCAGCCGUAAACGAUGCUCACUAGGUGUCAGGCAUG